ACCUUCUCUAAGGUUUGUACUAAAAUUUCAGAAACUAGUAUCAUGUCUUGGUAUUUGAAAUAAAGCGAGCAGAGUAAGCACAAGAAUCAAAAAAUAGCUGAACAGCUGUAACA
ensembl:snoRNA